GAUGAACGCUGGCGGCGUGCCUAAUACAUGCAAGUCGAGCGAACAGACGAGGAGCUUGCUCCUCUGACGUUAGCGGCGGACGGGUGAGUAACACGUGGAUAACCUACCUAUAAGACUGGGAUAACUUCGGGAAACCGGAGCUAAUACCGGAUGAUAUAUUGAACCGCAUGGUUCAAUAGUGAAAGACGGUUUUGCUGUCACUUAUAGAUGGAUCCGCGCGGCAUUAGCUAGUUGGUAAGGUAACGGCUUACCAAGGCAACGAUGCCUAGCCGACCUGAUGGGGGGUAGGCCGCCUGAGAAGGUGACCAGCGACCCAGGGUCUGAGGGACGGCCCAGGUGGGAACGGUAGGCAACAGGGGGAAAUCCUGCCGAAGGAGCGCAAGGUUGAUGAUGAAGCGCUGCGGGCGGUAAAACGGUGUUAUGGGGGAAAACCGAUUUCGUAAGUAACGAUGCACGACUGACGGUAACCUAUAAAGAAGGCCCGGCUAACUACGUG
rnacentral:rRNA from 1 species